rnacentral:tRNA from 1 species
GGCCGUGUGGCGAAAUGGCAUCGCGUCUGACUACGAUUUACAUUGGAAUCAGGAGAUUGCAGGUUCGACCCUUGUCUCGGUCA